CAUUUAAGACUUUUAUAUCCUGAUUUGUUUGACCAUUCACUAGCAUUUUUCUGUUCCAAUAACUUGGGUAAUUAAUUUCUUAGCUUAAUUGGUUGCUGAUAUUUUAUCCAAUCAAACGACUAUCCUGUUUUAUGGUUGGUAGGUGGGUCUGUGAGGCAAGUUACUGUGCUUAAUUUUCUGGUACUUUUUCUUGGCAGAUUUCUAAAUAAGCUUUGAUUUAGGCUCAAUUGUCGAAAGAAGAAAAUUGUACAUGAUGAGUAACGUGAGGGUUGUUCAUUAGUUGUUAUUGGCCCCUCAUUGUAUAUUUGGUAGCACUUUCUCCAUUUUGCUUGUCCAAACAAACAACUAUUCUGUUUUAUUGUUGGUAGGUGGGUCUGUGAGGCAAGUUACUGUGCUUAAUUUUUUGGUACUUUUUUCUGGGCAGAUUUCUAAAUAAGCUUUGAUUUAGGCUCAAUUGUCAAAGGAAGAAAAUUGGUACAGGAUGAGUAAUGCCAGGGUUGUUCAUUAGUUGUUAUUGGCCCCUCUUUGUAUCUUUGGUAGCACUUUCUCCAUUUUGCUUCAAUAUAUUUUGCCAUCUUUCAAAGAAAAAGAAAGUGUACUUUGAAGGAAUUUACACAUUUUGCCUUUUUGUUUUUUGGUUAGCUUGUUACUACACCCACUGUCAGUUCACACUUCACUGUUAGCCACCCCCACAAGGGAAUCAAUGCCAAGACCUUAGUGUUGAAACGAGGUAUCUUUCACUGAGUCUACCACAUCAGCUAUGGAUCAGGGUGUUACACAUUCUGCCUCAGAGGGUGAAAUUUUACUAUAUUUAUGCAUAUGCUGCCUAUGAGAUGCAUUACGUCUUUAGAUGAAGCAUGCCUAUGGUGAAUUAUAUAUGUCCACCAUUAUCUGUUGAAUAUUAUUAGAGUUAUUUGUCUUCUCGUUUCACCAUCCAAAACAUGGUAAUGCUACAUUAAGUCAUUGCUAUUUGUUGUUUACAAAAUAUCUAUCAAAUUACGGGUGGGCUGGUGGCAAUAGGCUGAGCGCUGUUGGCCCUAGCCCGGACUUGGCCCAAAUCGGACUUGAAAGGCCCUAAUGUUAGCCUUAGCCUUACAGGGCCACGCUGGCUAGGGCAGAAAAAGAGUUAAACGAUCAAAGGUUUGAAAAUAGUCCAGUCUUAAGAUUUUUUAAUUUUUUUUAAUUUUUUUUUGGGGACAUUCUCCAUUUAUGACAAGUCCCAUCAUAUGCACAGUUUGGAUCCCCUGGAUCCAACAAGUGUCUUUAAGAUCAAAACAAAUGAUUUGAAUGGGAUUCAAAGAAUCGAAGUGAAGUGGACCAUUAUGGGAAAAAUCGGAAAGAAGGGUAAACCUUCACUUUCUUUUU